rnacentral:rRNA from 1 species
AGCGAACGUUAGCGGCGCGCCUAACACAUGCAAGUCGCACGAGAAAGGGCUUCGGCCCCGGUAAAGUGGCGCACGGGUGAGUAACACGUGGGUAAUCUUCCUCCGAGCGGGGGAUAACAUUCCGAAAGGAGUGCUAAUACCGCAUAAGACCACGGAGUCGAAAGACACUGAGGUAAAAGCUGGCCUCUUCACGAAAGCUAGCACUUGGAGAUGAGCCCGCGGCCCAUCAGGUAGUUGGCAGGGUAAUGGCCUACCAAACCUAAGACGGGUAGCUGGUCUGAGAGGAUGAUCAGCCACACUGGAACUGAGACACGGCCCAGACUCCUACGGGGAGGCAGCAGUGGGGGAAUCUUGCGCAAUGGACGAAAGUCUGACGCAGCGACGCCGCGUGGGUGAUGAAGGCC